rnacentral:rRNA from 1 species
UACGUAGGGUGCGAGCGUUAAUCGGAAUUACUGGGCGUAAAGCGUGCGCAGGCGGUGAUGUAAGACCGAUGUGAAAUCCCCGGGCUUAACCUGGGAACUGCAUUUGUGACUGCAUGGCUGGAGUGCGGCAGAGGGGGAUGGAAUUCCGCGUGUAGCAGUGAAAUGCGUAGAUAUGCGGAGGAACACCGAUGGCGAAGGCAAUCCCCUGGGCCUGCACUGACGCUCAUGCACGAAAGCGUGGGAG